UGAGCUCUCCUCCCUCCUCUGUGUGUCUCACCUGUGCAGGUGGAGAAGUUCCUGUCGGCCAACACUCAGGAGCUCAGCAAAGACAAGUGGCUGUGUCCUCUGAGCGGGAAGAAGUUCAAGGCUCCCGAGUUUGUGCGCAAACACAUUCUCAACAAGCACGGCGAGAAGGUCUCUGGUGUCCGGCAGGAGGUUGAGUUCUUCAACAACUUCUUGUUGGACGCUAAAAGACCUGCCCUGCCUGAGAACAAGCCCCUCCCACCGCCUUCACCAGCCGCUCCUCCGGGUUUACCAGGAUUUCCCGGACAGUCGCCGCAGCAGCAGAGCCUUCUGGGAUAUCCGCCUGGAGUCAGACCACCCAUGCCCGGUUUCCCAGGCGGUGCACUCCACCAUCCACCAAACCAGUUUGGAGCUGGGCGGGGUAACUAUGACAACUUCAGAGGUCAUUUAGGAGGCGGCGGGGGGUUUUCUGGGAAACAGCGAAACAGCAGGGGCAUGCGAGGCGACCCUCGCUCCAUCAUCGAGUACAGAGACCUCGACGCUCCGGACGACCUCGACUUCUUUUAAGCACCAGAAGCCCCAAGAUUGUUUUUUUUUUUUU